GUCCUAGCUGUAAACGGUGCUCACUUGCUGUAGACGGAAUCGACCCCGUCUGUGGCGAAGCUAACGCGUUAAGUGAGCCGCCUGGGGAGUACGGUCGCAAGAUUAAAACUCAAAGAAAUUGACGGGGGCCUGCACAAGCGGUGGAGUAUGUGGCUUAAUUCGAUGCAACGCGAAGAACCUUACCUGGCCUUGACAUGUAGGUGGUAGAAGUCUGAAAGGAUAACGACCCCGCAAGGGGAGCUUACACAGGUGCUGCAUGGCUGUCGU
rnacentral:rRNA from 1 species